UACGUAGGGACGAGCGUUGUCCGGAAUUACUGGGCGUAAAGGGCGCGCAGGCUGUAGAUCAAGUCAGCUGUGAAAUGUCUGGGCUUAACCCGGGCAUGCGGUUGAAACUGAUGUACUGGAGUGCUGUAGAGGCAAGUGGAAUUCCCAGUGUAGCGGUGAAAUGCGUAGAUAUUGGGAAGAACACCGGUGGCGAAGGCGACUUGCUGGGCAGCAACUGACGCUGAGGCGCGAAAGCCAGGGGAGGCAAACGGGAUUAGA
rnacentral:rRNA from 1 species